AUGGGACCAAUAAUAUGUUUCCUGUUUAACUUGCAGAAAAGGUGGGAAGACCACGUAAAGCAGCAAGAAGGUUUUGAAGGUUGUACAGAGGUACAGGGAGAAGACCUGGAAAAAAUUGCCAGACCAACUCAAAAUCACAAAGUUUCCAGAGCUUAUAUACCUUCUAAGCCAUGUGUCUAUGUUUCUCUGUCCUGUUCCCAUGCGGAGAAGAUCCUUGCAUCCCAUUCUGCCAUGAUUGUAUGUUUCCUGAGGCUUCCCCAGCCAUGUGGAACUAUCCCCAGAAUGGAGCCCAGACAGAGGAGCAGGGAGACAUCGGAUUUGUUGCUGCUCUCAGCCUCCUCUCAGCAUCCUUGUCUACAUGCAGGGGUUCUGCCAAGCUGA
rnacentral:lncRNA from 1 species